rnacentral:rRNA from 1 species
UUGUUUUUUGUUUUGAGCGUUUGGUGGAUGCCUUGGCAUCGUGUGCCGAUGAAGGACGUUGUGGCUGGCGAUAGCCUCGGGGAGUUAGCGAGCGUGCGUUGAUCCGGGGGUUUCCGAAUGGGGUAACCUAACCAUAGUUGUGUGUGGUUGGCGCGCACUGAAGUUUUGAUAGGUGUGUGUUGGUAGGGUGGGAAGUGAAACAUCUUAGUACCGCCUUUUGUGAGAUAGUCCGUGUGUAGUGGUGAGCGAUAGCGGGUGUUGGCUAAACCGUUUGCGUGUGAUACUCGGCAGGGGUUGCGCGGGCGGGGUUGUGGGACGAAGUCGUUGAGAAUCUGCCGGUUCUUGGAGCGUUUUUGUGUGUGCGAGGUGAACAGGUUGGGAUGCCUGGCCGUAGACCGUGAGAGUCGGGUAGCUGGUUGUGCAUGCUUUGCGUUGGGUUUUGUUCCCGAGUAGCGCGGGGCUCGUGGAAUCUCGUGUGAAUCUGCCCAGACCAUUGGGUAAGCCUGGACGGGCAUGGUGACCGAUAGUGGAUUAGUACCGUGAGGGAAUGGUGAAAAGUACCCCGGGAGGGGAGUGAAAUAGUUCCUGAAACCAAGCGUUUUUAAGCCGUCAGAGCCGCGGGGUCUUCGGACUGGUGUGGUGGUGGCGUGCCUAUUGAAGAAUGAGCCUGCGAGUUAUGUUGCGUUGCGAGGUUAACCUGUUGUGGGGUAGUCGUAGGGAAACCGAGUCCUGGGGGCGUUUUAGUUGCGUGGCAUAGACCCGAAGCGGGGUGAUCUACCCAUGGCCAGGUUGAAGCGGCGGUAGAACGUCGUGGAGGACCGCACCCACCAGGGUUGAAAACCUGGGGGAUGAGCUGUGGGUAGGGGUGAAAGGCCAAUCAAACUCCGUGAUAGCUGGUUCUCCCCGAAAUAUAUUUAGGUAUAGCGUUCCAUCUUUUGCUUGCGUGUGGUAGAGCUACUGGUUGGUUGAUGGGCCUUGUUGGUUACUGAGAUCUGCUAAACUCCGAAUGCGCGUUAAGUUGGUGGGGCAGUCAGACAGCGGGGGAUAAGCUUCGUUGUCGAGAGGGAAACAGCCCUGAUCAUCGGUUAAGGUCCCUAAGUGUGUGCUGAGUGGAAAAGGAUGUGUAGUUGCGUUGACAGCCAGGAGGUUGGCUUAGAAGCAGCCACCCUUGAAAGAGUGCGUAAUAGCUCACUGGUCAAGUGAUUC